ensembl:snRNA U4 U4 spliceosomal RNA
AGCUUUGCGCAGUGGCAGUAUCGUAGCCAAUGAGGUUUAUCCGAGGCGCGAUUAUUGCUAAUUGAAAACUUUUCCCAAUACCCCGCCACGGCGACUUGAAAUAUAGUCGCUGUCGGCAAUUUUUGCAAGCUCCUUCGGGAG